CAGAGGUGGCAAGCGUUGUUCGGAAUUACUGGGCGUAAAGGGCGCGUAGGCGGCCAUCUAAGUCAGACGUGAAAUCCCCCGGCUUAACCUGGGAACUGCGUCUGAUACUGGACGGCUUGAGUAUGGGAGAGGGAUGUAGAAUUCCAGGUGUAGCGGUGAAAUGCGUAGAUAUCUGGAGGAAUACCGGUGGCGAAGGCGGCAUCCUGGACCAUUACUGACGCUGAGGCGCGAAAGCUAGGGGAGCAAACGGGAUUAGAUACCCCGGUAGUCCUAGCCCUAAACGAUGAAUGCUUGGUGUGGCGGGUAUCGAUCCCUGCCGUGCCGAAGCUAACGCAUUAAGCAUUCCGCCUGGGGAGUACGGUCGCAAGGCUG
rnacentral:rRNA from 1 species